GAAGGCGCCGGCACUUGGGGGCGUGAGCGCGUGGUUGGCGGGGUCGCGUGGGGCGGGCGGGAGGCGUGGUCGCCUGAGCCCGAGGCUUCUGGCGCGCGGACCCCACGCUCUGCUGGCGGCUCUGUGGGGCGACACGGCGGGAACUCGGAGUGGUUCGCCUGGACUCUGCUGCGGGGAGCGGCGGCGGUCUCAAGUCCUGAGUCUCUAUAGAAGCCAAAAUCCAUCGAUCUUCGUUCUUCACAAUGCAAUGGAACGUACCAAAGACUGUAUUCCGACUGGGACAUAGGACAUUCAUGGAACCACAUAAAGCAGGUCUUUUUGGACUCUGUCAAAACAUAAAGGGACCAUUGCUUUUGUAUAACUCGGAAUCCAGAGUGGUUUUGGCACAGGGCCCUCAGAAGCGAUGGCUGCUCUUACCUGCUGCUCAGUGUUCUGCAAAGGAAAGGAAGCCAUUCACUGCUCACCCACCCCAACCAGGGGUCCUUCACCACAAGCAGCGGGAGCACAAGCUCUUGCCCAAGAGGGUUCUGUCAUCCAGUGCCAUGUCCCCAGGAACUCCCUCGGAAAAAAGGAAGAGCCUGAUCCUUUACAAGACAGAUCUAUUAGUCUUUAUCAACGGUUUAAGAAAACAUUUAGACAAUAUGGAAAAGUUUUGAUUCCAGUGCAUCUAAUAACUUCUGCUGUUUGGUUUGGAACAUUUUAUUAUGCAGCCAUAAAAUUGCGACGCCUGCAAGGUACACCGUGACCUUGGGAGGGACCUCCUUCACUGUGAAGUACCUGCGCAGCCAUGGCUACAUGUCGACGCCGCCUCCUGUGAAGGAGUACCUGCAGGACAGGAUGGAGGAGACCAAGGAGCUGCUCUCAGAGAAGAUGGAGGAGACCAAGGACAGACUCACUGAAAAACUGCAAGAAACCAAAGGAAAGGUUUCCUUAAAGAAAAAGGUGGAAUAGGGGGCCUCAUAGGCCAGGUUUAUAGACAAUUCCUGCACUUUAACCCUUUGGAGACUAUGGGCAGAGAUUCAUGCUCCUGAUUAUUUUUUUGGUUAGCAGCCUAAAUAUAGCAGAUCUCUGAGGGUUAAAGAACUAAUAACUUUUCAAAGGUAAACAUCACUAGAAAAGUCAGUGUUUUUUAAAAGAGAAAUGAACCCAGCAAAAGAAUUCCACAGUAGCAGCGGUAAGCAGUGGUCUGCGUUGCCAGAGCCCUCCUCCUUUUGUUUUUAGUUGCAGCUGUAAUUCAUGCAGACGAGGCAGCCUGGGAGCAGGUGGUACGGCCCUAGGCAGUUUUAAUACUGCGUCUUCAUCUUUGUUGUUCAUUGAGGUUUAACUAUAUUCCAUUCUCAGUGUGUAGACAAACUGUUAACAGAACUGCCUACUAAAUAAGAGAUAUUUAGUCUUUCUCUAAAAACAGUGUAUAACAGUAUUUUAACAUCUAGUUAUGUGGAUUUCAUAUGAAAAAAGCUGAAUGAAAAUUGAGUCGUAUAUGUGAAGAAGAUAUAUUGGUUAUGUGUAAAUGAAAAAAUUGACCCUUUAAAAAUGAUUUUUACCUGAAGCUUGUCAUAAUCAAAUUUCUUAAGCAAGUCUGCGUGGUCACAGCACUUUCUCACUCAGAACGUAAAACUCUGUUGUUCCUGCACCAUGUUGUCUCCAGCUGCCCUCUCAGAGGGAAAGGGAGAAUCGUCAGAAUCCAAUUUCUUUUGGAGAUCAAACACCCUCAGCGGCACCUGAGCUUGUGGUUCUCAGCAGUGUGGGUUUGAGGAUGAAGACUGUGUCUCCACCAGCCAGUCUGUCUUGAUUUUAUUGUGGAGUCAGUGUUAAGAUUGUAGCUCGGCUUUUCCCUUGCACUGAAACAUCCUUGCUUGAGCAUUUUACUUGAAUUUCUUUAAUCACAAAGCUGUCAUUAAAUUAUCUGCUUAGAAUGAAAUUGACUGUCAGGUGUGAAAGUUGCCACAAUUGUGUGGGUGUGUUCGAGGAUGUGUGUAUCUAUUUCCUUUUGCUCUAACUGCCCUUACUUCACUUCUAACCUUUGAAUGGAUGCUGGAAGAGGGAGCAGUCUCUUGUAGACUGCUCUUGAUUGGAUGAGGAAAGAGAAUUCCGAGGGCUUGUAGGAAGCAACCCCUCAGAUCUCACUGCUGUGCCACAGAAUUUCGUGUUAAGUAUUGUGUGGCCAAACUGAGAGAGUGCUUUAAAGGGAAAAAAAAGUUUACGUUUGAUGCACCUCAUCAGCCUUUGGGGACACUUCUUAAAUGAAUACACUCUGGUGAACUCUUUCUUUGUGCGGGUGGGCAGACAGGUGCAGGGCAGGGCUCACUGCCGCACUCAGCCUCCUCAGGCAGGAUGGCUCCUGAUACAGCCCAGGGUGUGAUUUCAAAUUGACAGCACAUUUUCAAAUCAAGAACCGUGAACAUGUUUUAGCCUGUUUAUUAAAUAACUCACAGUUUUGCAGAUACUAAAUGCUAAGAUAGCUAUUAAUAGGUUUCUUGUUUAUUUUUUUUAACAAAUUGUUACUGCCUGUUUUAAAAUCAUGUGUUAUGUGAAACUUUCUCCGUAAACAAACAAUUUCCUUUUACUUUUCACCUUGCACAGGGCAUGCUUUCCAAUGCAGACAAAUUGAGUGUCUUAGAAGCACUAAUAAUCCUGGGUGCCUGCCCUUGGCUUAUUAGCCCAUCUGAGAGUUGUUGCCAUCCAGUUUUACAAUUGUGUUCAUCCAGUUACAAAAAGUGAGAUGCUGGGGAGUGCUUUGUAAUUCUCUAGUAAAAAACUCUCUGAAGGCGUACGUUUUCUUGUCAUUAUUUGGUAUUGGGAACAUUUGAUCUUUAGGAGCUGCUGCUAUCCCGUUGCUAACCUAGUCCUUAAGGGAAGCUAUAGAAAGCGAAAGGGGGCUCUGGAAUGUGCAGGGAGGAGUAAUCGCAGCAGGCAGCUACAGGAGAGCCCUGCGUUUCAAGUUCACUCUUCCAGAGCAUGUGGGGUAAGUACCCUAAACCCUGUUUCAUUUACAGUAAACCUGUCCUUGCUGUGUGUGUCUGGUGUACAUGUCUGUAUUUAGAUAGGAUUGUUGACAUGGUAAAGAGGGCGCAUGGCUGAGACUUAACAUCUAUAAAAUGGAUGAGAAGUGUUUGCUCAGCAAAUUAACAAUUGAAAUGAAAACUAGAUUACAUAGAAGACUGAGUUUAUUCAAGAAAAUAACCAAACCAGUCUUUUAAAGUACCAAAAGAUGUCUUUUACUGCUUCACGUACAACAGCGUCCUGAUUGCAGAUUCCAGCAAAGGAGAGAGAGUACACAGUACCUAUAUUGAGGUUACCUUCCUGCCACUGGUGAAAAUCGUAAAGCUCUGCUUUCAAAUAAAAUCUUCAGUUUGUUACAGAAUCUACCAUCCAUUUAUGGAUGAUACUACUGUAGUCCUUUAUGCUCUAGGAGGAAAUGGAGCUACUGGCUUGUCUUAUUGCAGUGAUCUUAUCAUUCCAGGAAUUUUAUAAAGAUCUUAACAGUUUAUGGAGUUCCCGUCAUGGCGCAGUGGUUAACGAAUCUGACUAGGAACCAUGAGGUUGUGGGUUCGAUCCCUGCCCUUGCUCAGUGGGUUAACGAUCCGGCGUUGCUGUGAGCUGUGGUGUAGGUCACAGACGCGGCUCGGAUCCCGCGUUGCUGUGGCUCUGGCGUAGGCCGGGGGCUACAGCUCCGAUUCGACCCCUAGCCUGGGAACCUCCAUAUGCCGCGGGAGCAGCCCAAGAAAUGGCAAAAAGACCAAAAAAAAAAGAUCUUAACAGUUUAGGCAGAUGAAGUGUUUGAAGAAGUAAGUUAUACAUUAGACACAUCCAUAUCUUUCCUGUGUUCUUCCCACUUAGUUCAUCUUCAGGGUUUCUUAACCAGUUCAGAUAUUGGGAACAAAGCAACAAGAUUGUAGACUAUGGUGACAAUGAAACAGAGUAUGUUAGUAAAUGAGGCAGAAAGAGUGUGUGUAUCUUUCCUGAUAUCUUUUCAGGUGAUAUUUGUGAGAUAUACAUUUCUGAAUUAGUAAAGGAUAGAUUGUUACCAGUGUUGGUUUUAAGUAGCUUUGGUAGCUUUUAAAAGCUUACUUGAUUGGCUUUUUCCAAGCUAUGGUCUACAGUGGGUCAAAUCACCUUGGCCAAGAAGCCAGAGUUGCACAACUCAAGAGUGUUCAGAUAGAAAAGUGUGGGGCUCUCUAUGCCUUGGGAACUAAACCAGAAAUCUGUAGAACCAGAAGUGAGUGCUUUUAAUUAUUCAUUCUGCAAAGAGUUUUGUUUUAUCUUCACUUGGCCCACCUAUGUGGUACAUAGAACCCUAAAGAUUUUUGCCUCAUUGGCCCAAAGGAACAAUUCAGGCAAGAAUUCUUACCUUAGACACUUGAACGGUCAGAAUUUAUCUUCAGCCGUGAAUUUUGGCCUGGUCCUCUGAUUCUUGAAAGAUCUUUGUCCUGCAUUUUGAAUAUGGAACUUAUAUCUCAGAAAUGCUGAGUUGUGGCAAGUGUAGUUUUCCCUCUUUGAGGUCCUUUCCUUUGUGACUUCUGUGUCGAGCUGGUUCAUCUUAGCUUGUCAAAACACAUUUUUGAUUGUCAGGCUUCUUCAGCGUUAGGCUUUGAAAGCCAAGCUGUAUUCUUCCUGGUGCACUGGACUGGCAGAACCAACACUAUUGUCUUGUGGAAGUUAUCUGUUUAUUUGUAAAGUUAUCUGUUUACUCUGAGCAGAGAGUACACAUUCUUGAUUCCAGAAGCUAUCAGGGCAGAGUUAUUCCGGUAACUCAAUUGCACAGUCAUCCUGGGCAAGUGCAAAGCCUCAGGAGUCCUUCUCAGCACAUGUGGUUUCUCCUUACAGGUAAAAGUGCUGGUGGAAUCCAGGGUGAACAUUGUGUUUUCUCUGGGCCAACAUCAUCCAUAGGAGCAGAAGUUGUAGAGCAGUUCACAGGUGUUCCACCUGCUGCCAGAAUAUAUCCUCAUUCUUCCCGAAAGUGAGGAUCACAUGAACCUUUCUUCCUUCUUUCCUUCCUUCUCCCUCCCCCCUUCCCUCUCUCCAGCUCUUUCUGCUUUAGAUUUUGACCAAUGCAAAUGUUAGAGAACUCUCUGAAGUGCAAAACAAAAAAGGCAAGUUUGUGUGCAGAGCAGGCCUGGCUGUCCCACACUGGCCAGAGCGUGCUUCCUCUCUCUGUCCCUCUUCAGUAAGAGCGGGACAGAAAGCUUGCAGGUGUUUCCUGACCUUCUAAUCAGAUCCUCAGUGAAAGGCAGCCUUUUAUCCCGUGUGGAUAAUUUCACAAGGUUACUCUUAAGUAUAAGGUAUAUGAAAUAUAUCUAAUAUCAUCUGUAUGAAACCUACCUAAUAUAAUCUAAUUGGGGUAAGCCAGUGGGAUGUUUUAACCCCUUAAAACUAGGGUUUUUUUGGUUUUUUUUUUUUUUAAGGAAAAGAACUUAGAGGAUUUCCUGUAUAUACACAAAUAUUUAAUCUGUUACCUUGUAAUGCACCUCUAAGUACAAGAUUUGAGAUGCUACAAGGAUUUGAAGCACAUUUUUACUAGUUUGUCUUUUGUUGCAUUUGAGUUGGUAUUUUCUUUGGACAUGUGGUGACUUGGUGGUUAGUGCUUUACUUCCCUAAGAAUGGUGGCUACUUGUGUUCUCUCUGAGCAUGCGCCCCUGAAAGGUGGGACUGUGAGGUCCUCAGACACCAACCGCCGUGUCCUCCCCUUGCAUCCCCUCCCCUCAAGCUUGGUCUGGAGAUGGUGGCACAGGGUGGGAUUGCCAUGGUGCUCUGCCGUCAUUUUCUUUUUAUUCUCCUGCUAGAGAUGAUGGAAGAACUAUCAAACACUUGUCUACAAAAUCUAGUCAAUUUUUGUUGAGAAAUCCAGGCCAUUUAGUAAUAACUGCAUUAUUUUGGAAGCAUUUUAGAUAAGAGUUUUCAGAGUCAUAAACCCGAGGCUUACAGAGAACUUAUAUAGAAUUUUGUCUCUAGUGGGUCACUUUAGAAUAUUUCAGCUGAGGAAGGGCGAGCAGGAGAGCUGAACCUGACAUUUGGAUCCCAGCUGCUGGUUUAGCACUUUUCCAGUCAUGCCAGGAACUAAGGUGAAGUCCUUGCUUUGGACCUUUAUGAUCACAGAAAAGGGGCAUUCUUUCCUGCCUGUGCUUCUGCUUCCUUCGUCCCACAGCCUGACAGCUGGGGAACGUUUGCUGAAGCCCUGUCACUGUCCAGCUUGACUUGGCAGCACAGGGUUAUUAGCUAUUUUCAGACACCCACAUCCAUACUUGAGAGCAGGUAUCCAAACUGGUGAUUAGACCUAGUUUUUAGGCAUCAAAACAUGUUUAAUAUUUCAUUGUCCAAGAGGAUUUGAUCUCAGGAAAUACCCCAUUCCUCCUUGGUUAAAAAAUAGUGUGUUUGCUUUUCCUACUGCUUUUCUGUUGAGGGGCUCAGCAGUGGCCUCAGCAUCUGAGCCUGUAUUUGUGACACUCGAGCAGCUCCGAUUGGAAUUUUCCACUUUGGGACAAUCACCAGAAUGUCGAGGCAUCAGAAGCUGGCAUUGGUGGCAACUUUUAGCACCAAGUGCACAGUGUGCCCCUGAUUAAGAACCAUUAGGCUGCGUCCCCAGGAGCGGAGGUUGACGUAACAGGAGAUUGACAGUGAGGCAAGCCCACUUGCUCCUGGGCAGAUCGGGUUAGUAAGAGGGUUCACAUGUGGCAUGGGGGCCAGGACAGUCUCAGAUUAGGAACAGCUCCCCUGCCCCUCACAGAAAGGAAGCCAGAGGAGGACAAAAUGGGGGCCAAGGCGGGAAAUUAUUUUAACUAUUAUCCCUUAGGAUUGUCACAGUUUAUUACUAAGACUGUAAGAAUACCCCCCCAACACACAGAACAUUUAACUACAAAGACUAUACACACUUAGAGUAAUGAGAAACAAAGCAGAUAUAUUUUACAUAACCUGUGGGGAGGAGGUCCUGGGCCCGGGGCCACCGUCUCCAUUGUGGCAGGGCUGCCCCAGCUCCUGAGGCCAGAACUGCUGCAGCGGGAAGAGUGGCAGCCGCACCUGUCACCACUGAGGGCGUAGAGCCAGUGUCAUGGCAGUGCUUGCUCCCAGCCCACAGGGACUGGGCUUGUUUAGCAAGGAAGGCUGCAAUAGUAGCUCCCUGUGCUGGGGCUGUGCGUGGCAGGACACCCUCCAGCCUUCCCGCCAGUGCCCUGUUGUCCACGUGACAUGUAGCAAUGGAGCUGAUACUUGAGCCCCCCAGUCUGUAAGCUCCAAAGCCUGUGCCGCCCUUGACCAGUAAGCAGGAAAUCUCACAGAAGUGGGACCUCAGGCUCCCACACAAAAGCUGGGGCUGGACCCAGCCUGGCUUGGGGCCCGAGAGCAGGCCAAGGGGUGGGUGUCUGGCCUACCAUUUGCGAGAUCAGAGUCUGCACUGUGGUGUAAAGCUGCUUACUCCAGAUCCUUACAGCACUACCAGGGUACACACGAAAUUCGACUGGCCUCCCAACACAUUACAUCACAGAGGAGCAGCUGUACACAGGUGUGCAUAAAUACAUAUACUGCUUCCUGGUAGGGCCUUUGAAAGUCUAUUUCAGUUACCACUGUGUUCAAAUGACUGGAACUGUAGCUUUUGCUCUUCCGAUUUUCAAAAGUUUGUGUAUGGGAGCUCCCCUUGUGGCAUGGGGGGUUACGAACACGACUAGUAUCCAUGUGGAUUCGGGUUCAGUCCCUGGCCUUAGAUUCUGUCCUUGCCGUGAGCUGUGGUGUAGGCCAUCAGCUGCAGCUCUGAUUCAACCCCUAGCCUAGAAACUUCCAUAUGCCACAUGUGUGGCCCUAAAAAGCAAAAAAGAAAAGUGAGCCUAUAAAAAUGAAUGAGGUUUGCAUUAGGGCAAAAGCCCAAAGUCUGGACAGAAACAUGACAUCAAAACAAUGAACUUUCCAAAUGUAAAGUUUGGGGGGUUUUUUUUGUUUGUGUGUUUGUUUGUUUUUACUAUUGGGCUCUUCUAAAACAUGCAUUUUAAUUAGAAUCCAUUCAAAGCAAAACAUCGAAACUGUAAUGAUGGAGUUCCUGUCAUGGCUCAGUGGUUAACGUAUCUGACUAGGAACCAUAAGGUUGUGGGUUCGAUCCCUGGCCUUGCUCAGUGGGUUAAGGAUCCGGCAUUGCCAUGAGCUGUGGUGUAGGUUGCAGACGCAGCUCAGAUCCCGAGUUGCUAUGGCUCUGGCGUAGGCCGGGGGCUACAGCUCCGAUUCGACCCCUAGCCUGGGAGUUUCCAUAUGCUGCGGAAGCGGCCCUAGAAAA
rnacentral:lncRNA from 9 species